rnacentral:rRNA from 1 species
GGGCCCGCACAAGCGGUGGAGCAUGUGGUUUAAUUCGAUGCAACGCGAAGAACCUUACCAGGGUUUGACAUACUACAAAUUCCUUAGAAACAAGGAAGUGCCUUCGGGAAUGUAGAUACAGGUGGUGCAUGGCUGUCGUCAGCUCGUGUCGUGAGAUGUUGGGUUAAGUCCCGCAACGAGCGCAACCCACGUCGUUAGUUGCCAGCAUUUAGUUGGGCACUCUAGCGAGACCGCCGGUGAUAAACCGGAGGAAGGCGGGGAUGACGUCAAGUCCUCAUGGCCCUUAUGGGCUGGGCUACACACGUGCUACAAUGGCAGUGACAGAGGGACGCUACCAGGUGACUGGAUGCAAAUCUCAAAAAGCUGUCUCAGUUCGGAUUGUUGUCUGCAACUCGACAACAUG